AAAGUGCGCAUUAUGGAUAACUCCGCUCUCUUUGGAACCAAAAACUAUGUACGUAAAGCUACUUUGGGAUUAAUUCCGAGCUCAUCCAAAGAAGCAAAAAAACCCGAUUUCUUACUGGAUCGGGUACGAAGCAAGUCCGAUAUGGUUAUUUUAUUUGAUUAUCUUCGCCCGAAUCCGAAGCCUCGAUAUCUGAAUCGGUUCGGAUCUGCUGAUGAUGUUGGAGUCGUUAUCCGAUACCUCAUAAUCGGGUGGGAGUCUCGAGAGAUCGUCGACUCUCUAUAUUCCUCUUCGUCGCCUCUCUCUCCCUCUCCUCUUAUCGCCGGGCGCCUGUGGACGUCCUCUUCCUCCUUGCAUCACCGGUCGUACCCCUCGGAUCCGCCGUGACUCUGUUACAAGCAUCCAGGUUCUUCUUCUUUAUCGUCUAUUUCUCUUCCCGACAUUUAGAGAGGCCUUUUUGCGGACGAUCAGCGUGCGUGUAACGCCCCAUCCAAGUUCAAGUUGCGUUGACCGGAGUAGUAUAUAUAUGCAUAUAUGUAUGCCAACCAUGGAGCUACCAGUGUCGGAAAACAAUACACGGGCCACCAUGGAGCUACCAGUGUCGGAAAAGAAGACAGAGCGCGAGCCAGAGCAGCAACCAGCAUCACCACCGCCGCAGGCUGAUGCCAAUGGCUUCAAUUUCCUUACCAUCAUCGCCCUCCUGUUCCUCACCGUCAAUUCGGCGGACGUCGCCUACCGAUCGCGCCACGAUCCCCCGACGCUGGCCUUCGUGGUGUUCACCUACUCUGACUUGAUGAUGCUCCUUUUUUGCCUCAAGAAGAUGGAACAGCUGCCACUGGAGGGGAGGGAGCGACUCAAGUUCCCGGUUUGGGCCCUCUCGACGGCUCUCAUCCUCGCGUUCUCGUGGCUGGUGGCGGAGAUAAUGCCUCUGGUACUGGCUGUCGUCGUCUGGCUAUUGUCGGGAUCCGUCGCCGUGGGUGGGUUUUAUGGGCUGUUCAUAUAUCGGGAGACGGAGGACGGUGGUGUCGUCGAUCAUGCUUAUUCUCUUGCCAAAACCAAUGAGCUCUCUCCCGAAGAGAAAGUCUAAUGCUGUGCACCGGGCAUUUAGUAUUCUUGAUCGCUCUGCUAUGCAGCUUGCACUGAGCAUGUAAUAUACUUAGUCGCUGCAUUUUACAUAACGAUCACACUUGGAAUAUAUAAUUCAAUAAUGCUAUCUAUGAGCUAAUUACAUAUUUUUCUCUUA